CGGAGUGAGAUAGGCGAGCCUUCUUCUUCUUGGCGGUGCCUCUCUCUCGUUUGCACUAAUAGCUGAGCCGUGCGCGCGCGACGGUUGUAGUUUGCUCUUUCUCUUGCUUGGUGCUGCGGUGCUCCCGCUCUAACGCGCGGCGUCGCUUCUUCUCUCGCUCGCACUCGUGCGGCGGUGCGAUCUCUCUUUCUUUCUCCAGCGCAUAGCGUCGCUGCUCCUCUUACUCGCACUCAUGUGUGUUCUGCUGAUGACGUCGUCUGCUCUGCGGUAGUGCGCAGCGGCCUGCUCACUUGUACUAAAAAAAAGAAUAUAAGAACGUCUCUCGUUAAUCGAUGAAAAGUGUUUUCGCGGCCCCAACCUCGGUGUCAGUGAGUCGCGUCGGGAUCUUGUGCUCUACUGUUACUUGUGUCGCAAUAUUCGCGUCAGAAUUCAUCCCAGUCUUUAUCUGUUUUCACCAGUCCUUUAGCAAUAGCCCUUUCUAAAAAAGAUGGUGGCGCGGUAGCACUACGAAGGCAAGUUUGAGAAGCAGACGAAGCCGUGGCGCCCAUGAUGUCAAGUGGCGUGGUAGCGCCACGAAGGCGAGUUUGAGAAGCAAACAAACCUGCGGCGCCGCAAUACUAUUUACUUCCAUAUUGGCUUCUUGAAUUUUCAAUUAUAAAAUACAAAUAUUUACAUUAUUGUAUAUAAAUUUUUUUGGCGUAUAAUCAUAUUUUUUAUCCUUAACUAUGAUUUCUAACCGAUAUAUUGGCAAGAGAGUCUAGUUUAUAAUAAACAAGUAUGGCAGUGGACAAAAAUG